CCCGCGCGUCUCCCCCUCGCCCCCUCCUCGGGGGGCCAAACGAACCCCGGCGCGAAAAGCGCCAAGGAAUACUCUAACGAGAGCCCUCCGCCCGUGCCC
rnacentral:rRNA from 1 species